CAUUAGUUGUGGGCUAGUGGCGUUUGCCCACCUUGCCCAACUAGUAUUUACGCCAUUCACACGAUUACGCACAUAACUGAUUUAAAAAUGAUUUCCCCCUCCCUUUUAAAUAACACGAUUUUGCAUAAAUAUUACUGCGACAUUGCCAGUUAUGUUAUAAAAAUAAAAAGCCAACAGUUAUUACGUACACGAACAAGAUCGCUACAGGUAGAUAUUACACAUAUGGUAUGUAAGUGCUGAACAGUUAGCUGAUGAAUCCUAAGCUCCAAUUUAUUACUUCCACCGAAAAUAUUUAAAAUUGUGGUUUUUUUUUUUAUUAUUAUGUUCUUAAAUAUGGUGCAACAUUCCAAAUGAUGGCUAAGAGAAGCUAUAAGGACAUUGUCUGUGCAACAAUGAUUUUAUUUGUUCGACGUUUGAAUUUAACAGCUGAGAGGAAAAAGAGAUAUUAUUCUUUAACACCCGACUUUCGGAAAAUAAACAACCUGUUUCCUUAAGUUUUAUUUCAAUAAAA